CGAUUUAGCCUGCUAGUCGCACGAGUUUAGACUCGUGGCAGAUAGCUCAGUAACACGUGGCCCAACUACCCUGUCGAUCGGGACACCCUCGGGAAACUGAGGCUAAUCCCGGAUACGGCUCGCUGCCUGGAGUUGGCGCGAGCUCGAAACGUUCAGGCGCGACAGGAUGUGGCUGCGGCCGAUUAGGUAGACGGUGGGGUAACGGCCCACCGUGCCGAUAAUCGGUACGGGUUGUGAAAGCAAGAGCCCGGAGACGGAAUCUGAGACAAGAUUCCGGGCCCUACGGGGCGCAGCAGGCGCGAAACCUUUACACUGCACGCGAGUGCGAUAGGGGGACUCCAAGUGCGAGGGCAUACAGUCCUCGCUUUUUGCGACCGUAAGGAGGUCGCGGAAUAAGUGCUGGGCAAGACCGGUGCCAGCCGCCGCGGUAAUACCGGCAGCACGAGUGAUGACCGCUAUUAUUGGGCCUAAAGCGUCCGUAGCCGGCCAGGCAAGUCCAUCGGGAAAUCCGCACGCCUAACGUGCGGGCGUCCGGUGGAAACUGCUUGGCUUGGGACCGGAAGAUCCAGAGGGUACGUCCGGGGUAGGAGUGAAAUCCUGUAAUCCUGGACGGACCACCGGUGGCGAAAGCGCUCUGGAAAGACGGAUCCGACGGUGAGGGACGAAAGCUUGGGUCACGAACCGGAUUAGAUACCCGGGUAGUCCAAGCUGUAAACGAUGUCUGCUAGGUGUGGCACAGGCUACGAGCCUGUGCUGUGCCGUAGGGAAGCCGUGAAGCAGACCGCCUGGGAAGUACGUCUGCAAGGAUGAAACUUAAAGGAAUUGGCGGGGGAGCACUACAACCGGAGGAGCCUGCGGUUUAAUUGGACUCAACGCCGGACAUCUCACCAGCAUCGACAGUAGCUGUGACGGUCAGUGUGAUGAGCUUACUAGAGCUACUGAGAGGAGGUGCAUGGCCGCCGUCAGCUCGUACCGUGAGGGGUCCUGUUA
rnacentral:rRNA from 1 species